rnacentral:rRNA from 1 species
UAGUAUAUAAUUAUUUAUUGAAACUUAAAUGUUUUGGCGGUAUUUUAGUUUAUUUAGAGGAAUCUGUUUAUUAAUUGAUAAUCCACGAAUAAAUUUACUUAACUUAUUAUUUUGUAUAUCGUUGUUAAAAAAAUAUUUUUUAAUAAUUAAUAAUAUUUUAAAAUUAAUAAUUAAAAAUUAAAUCAAAUCAAGAUGCAGAUUAUAAUUAAGAAUAUAAUGGAUUACAAUAAAUUUAUUUAAAUGGAUUUUAUUUUGUAAUAUUUAAAUAAAGGUGGAUUUAAAUGUAAUUUUAUUUAAUUUAUUAAAAUGAUUAAAAAUUAAAAUAUGUACAUAUUGCCCGUCGCUUUCAUAGAUAAAUUGAAAUAAGUCGUAACAAAGUAGAGGU